rnacentral:rRNA from 1 species
UACAGAGGUCCCGAGCGUUGUUCGGAUUCACUGGGCGUAAAGGGCGCGUAGGCGGCUUUGCAAGUGACGGGUGAAAGCCCUCGGCUUAACCGAGGAACUGCCUGUCAGACUGUGAGGCUUGAGACCGGGAGAGGUGAGUGGAAUUCCCAGUGUAGCGGUGAAAUGCGUAGAUAUUGGGAGGAACACCAGUGGCGAAGGCGGCUCACUGGACCGGAACUGACGCUGAGGCGCGAAAGCCAGGGGAGCAAACGGG